GUGACAAAUUUCCGCAACCAUAUUCCAUGGUUUGAUGCCUUGUAGUAAACUACAAACUCUGCUGCCAUAGUGGAUGAAGCUACAAGUGUCUGUUUGACACUUUUUCAAGAUAUGGCUCCUCUAGCUAAUAGAUUUUGGAAGCUAGUUACGAGUUCAGGGAUCGUCAAGGAUCGAUCGUUGUUUUGGUAUUUUAAAAGCUUGAAUUAUGAACUUAUGGCAUGUAUAGGCUAGCAUAUGUUUUGGUUGGUUUUGAAAUUGUAAAUAUAAAGCCAUGCGAAAAUGGCUAGAAAUGAUGCUUAUGAUUAUGUAGUUUUGAUCAUGAUAUAUGUUCAUGUGGGGAAUAAGGUUUCAUGGUA